rnacentral:rRNA from 1 species
CCAGACUCCUACGGGAGGCAGCAGUGGGGGAUAUUGCACAAUGGGGGGAACCCUGAUGCAGCGACGCCGCGUGGGUGAAGAAGUGUUUCGGUAUGUAAAGCUCUAUCAGCAGGGAAGAAAAUGACGGUACCUGACUAAGAAGCCCCGGCUAACUACGUGCCAGCAGCCGCGGUAAUACGUAGGUGGCAAGCGUUGUCCGGAUUUACUGGGUGUAAAGGGCGUGUAGCCGGGCUGACAAGUCAGAUGUGAAAUUCCGGGGCUCAACCCCGGACCUGCAUUUGAAACUGUUGGUCUUGAGUAUCGGAGAGGCAGGCGGAAUUCCUAGUGUAGCGGUGAAAUGCGUAGAUAUUAGGAGGAACACCGGUGGCGAAGGCGGCCUGCUGGACUGUGACUGACGUUGAGGCCCGAAGGCGUGGGGAGCAAACAGGAUUAGAUACCCUCGUAAC